AGUGGAGUUUAGUAACAAUCAGGAUGUGAAAUGGCGUAGCUGUUGUCUGUCCGAGAGGGACAGCAGGCCGGGAUACAGAGAAACAACCUGGUCAUGAACCGCGCAGAAAUGGACUUUAAUUCAUGUCUUUCAUCAUUACUCUGAUAAACUAGUGAAGAAGACCUUCGACCUCAUCCUGCUGACUUCUAAGAUAAAAAUUUGACCAUGCAUGAGUAUAAGACUCCAGAGAAAGCUGCGCCAGAUGAGAAGUGGUUCAGCAGCAGGAUGAAGCCUGUCCUGCGCCCAAGUCCUUUAGAUCUGCUCAGCACUGCACCUGGGUAGCAUUUAAUGCUUCAUCCGUCCAUUCAUUUAUCCAGGAUGACCUCGGCGGCGUAGUCCGGGCUGCUUUUAUUUCCUCUUUCUUCAUCCGAGUUUUGAGCUAGUUUCCCCCAUUUUAAUAUGAUGAAUUGUUUACUUGAUUCCUAUUUUUAACUCAAACUGUAUCCACUCUUCUCAGUAGACAGUAAACGGUUUCACACAGCUUUUUAAUCCUGUCCUAUUAACGAGCUUUAAACGAGCCUGUCUCAUCGAAACAUACUCUAGGUGUGAUGAUUAAACGGAUGGCAAGAAGAAGAGUGAGAUUCGCUAUCUGAGUUUGUGGAAAAUUACAUAAAAUGCACAAACGGUUCAUAGCUGUAACGUCAUCUUCUAAUGUAAUCGUUCAAAAAGGUUAUAACUGCAGAAGAAAUGUAAAUGUUUAUUUGGAUAACUGAACACCAAGUCAGCUUAUUAACAGAUUAUUAACCUGCAUGGAAAUGGAUUUAAGUCAUAAGAUGGAAUAGUUAAAUCCCACACAUUUAUUUAGGUUUAUUACAUUUACUUUUUUCCCGAGGAAGUAAGUUUGUGUGUGUGUGUGUGUGUGUGUGUGAUCCUUGCCGUGUUUGACCUGUAGUGACGAUGGGUUGAAUUAAAUAAAUAUUUCCUAAAAGCAUUGUAACACGAUUGUUAAAAUGGAAGAGCAAACAUCACAUUGAACACUCUCUCUCUCUCUUUCCAUCAGCCAUGACCUUUUAACAUUACAGUGCUUUUAGGAAAGCAAAUCCGUGCGUUUUGAGCGUAAAUGGCGUCUACGGACGGGGGAUAUGUGCAAUACGUCUGUUUUUUUUUGUUUUGUUUUUUUUGUCUUUUUUUUUUUGGGUCCUGUUUCGAGAUAAAUGUGUAUAUUGUACAAACAAGUGACGAGUUGUUCGUGCGACAAACAACAAAAUCACCAAUGUCUUCCAUUAAGUGAUGUAUAGUUUCAUCCGCUUGUUCGGUAGCGGGAUCUGUCGUGCCAACGUUAUAUGUGGCCAUGCAUGAGCGGACUCGAUGCUUGCAGAGUAGUUGUAGUGAAAUCCAGUUUAUAAACCUUAACGCAUAUUAGCUAAUAGUUGAGCAGGUGGUGAUUAGUCUCAAUACCACUGUGUAGCUUUGAGAAUAGUGAGCUUUGGAGAAUUUAAUUUCAUUUUUUUGUGUGUGUGUUUGUUGUCUUUUGAUCUUUAGUCGCCUGAUCUCAUCAUUUUCUUCAGAUCACUUUCCUGAAACAAAAAAAAAAAACAGUCUUUGGGUCUAUGUUUAAAUUGAAAUCAGAGCCUCGAGACAACAAAUCACAACUCUUUUAUUUUUCAUUAUAUAAUCUUAUGUUCUUAGUGUUAAUUUUGCUAGUUAGCAUCGAACAACCUGACUAGCGACUAGCUAACUAAGGUGAAACUGUGCUCGUCGGCGCUGUAAGUUAGGACAAAAUAAAUAACGAACAACAAAAUAACAAGAAUAAUCAUUUUUUUAAAAACGCUCUAGUCUGGAGUGGCUUAUAGGUAGCAUCGUCACUCUGACACGGUUUCGGAUGCACCGGAGGGUUAGUUUAGCUAGCGUUAACGUAGCAGACAUUCUAGAUUUUAGUUAACGAGUAGUUAGCGUCUCUAGUCGAUCAGAAUAAGGUGAUGUAGAUAGUUAAAUACCUCAAUCACUGGAAUGCAAAGUCUAUUUUUUAGAUUCCAUUGACAAAUAUGCAAGCCAUACUGCGCAUUAUGUUAGAUGUUACAUAUGAGGUUUGAUCCGUGCCAAAAAAAAAAAAUGUUGGCAUCGCAUCAUGUGGUCAGUGUGUUUACUCUCUGUUGUCGUUUUUCCUUCAUGAUUCCGAACAGAAGGUCCCAGGAGAAGGAGCGUUGCCUGUGUUACGCCAUCAUCACAGCUUAUUAUACAGAUCCGUCUCGUAUCGAUCUGAAAGUCAUUUUAAUUGGAGAGUUGAAACAAAUCUUCAGAAUUCACCCUUUGCCACGUGACCGCUGUGUCUCCAUGUGCCCCGAACCUUCCUGAAUCCGUAGGUUCAUGGUUUUUUUUUUUUGGCACAGAUAGACCCUCAUCAUUUAGAAGCAAUAAUUCUAUUAUGCAUGAAAACUCUAGUGCCAGAAAACGGCGUUUUGUGGAAUGACCUGUAGCAUAUUUCUUGCCGUGGUGUGUGUUCGUUAUUAAUGUUUAUUACUGAAGCGUACCGGAUUUCCAGUGGGCCAAAACUAGCUCCUCGUGUGUUAAAAAAACAAACAAACAGUGUACUUUAUGCACACUGCAUGAUUUCUAUCGCUACAUGAUAUGAUGAUGACAUCGAACACAGAUCUGGAUUGUGCAGUCAAAAAGGAAUCGGAGCGAGACGACGCUUUCUUUCACACGCUACAGUACACACUAAACACACACCGAACAUCGGUCGGCCUGCGAGCCUGUAGGUGUUUGUCUGUGGGAACGUGAGGGGUAAAUUAGCUACUGCAUGGUAGAAGUGGGUACCACGUGUCGUGCUGCAUGCAAUAAUUAAGCUUUGUUCGGAUAAAAAAAUAUAUAUAAUGCAAAACGUUAAGAAUGUGAAGUCAAGCUAGUGGACUGAUGUCUGAUUUUCCCUUAAGUUAAAAAAAAACGUUCGAUACAAAUACAUAAUCAUCUCAAUCGCUUUAUUAUAACCCUUUCUGUAUGUAACGUUUAUUUUUAUUAUUUUCCCCCCCCAAAUAGUCAGGAGUGGAAAGUUGCUGUAUUAUCUGUACAACCCUUGACAUGAUGAGUGAUAUUUGAGUAGCCCCUGAUUAAUCAAACAUCACAGGCUUGAUUGGAACAGGCUUCUUGUUCGAAGUUAAAGCAAAUUCAAGUUUAGUGGACCGUAUACACACACACACACACUCAGUUUGCAACCUAUUGUUAGUUUAAUACGGUUCAAAUAUUAUUUCCAACUGAAAUCCAUGUCCAGGGUGAAUAUUAUUUUCUUCUCCACAAUAUUAUUUUUUUUGUUUAUCAUCACAGGAUGGAUUGUACAGUAUAUGUGGUUAAAUCUAUGCACUACAGAUGCGCUAAGCAUGCGAAGAUAAACCUCUUGAUUUUGUAUAAUUAAAAAAAAAAUUAAAAAAUCUGUAUAAGAAAUUUAGCAAUAAAAACAGCAUGGUGCCAAUCUUA